rnacentral:rRNA from 1 species
CGGCGUGCCUAACACAUGCAAGUCGAGCGAGAAACCAUCGAUUGAAACUUCGGUAGAUAUUGAAGGCGGAAAGCGGCGGACGGGUGAGUAACGCGUAGGCAACCUGCCCUUUGCAGAGGGAUAGCAACGGGAAACUGUUAUUAAAACCUCAUAAUACCGUAAUGUCAAAUGAUGAAACGGUCAAAGAUUUAUCGGCAAAGGAUGGGCCUGCGUCUGAUUAGUUAGUUGGUAGGGUAACGGCCUACCAAGGCAGCGAUCAGUAGCCGACCUGAGAGGGUGAUCGGCCACAUUGGAACUGAGACACGGUCCAAACUCCUACGGGAGGCAGCAGUGGGGAAUAUUGCACAAUGGGCGAAAGCCUGAUGCAGCAACGCCGCGUGAAGGAUGAAGGCCUUUGGGUCGUAAACUUCUGUCCUUGGGGAAGAAAAAAUGACGGUACCCCUGGAGGAAGUCCCGGCUAACUACGUG